CCCUGCACUAUCCUUGUAAUUUUGGUACAGCUGACAAAUAUAACUGAACAAUGAAGGCUGAUGCUAGUCAGAUGAAAGCACUGUAUGAAGCCAAUGGCUAUCUGACUGCGAUCCAUGUACUGGGUGAGAAGGAAAUGGAACAGGCCAGCAAAGAGUAUGGAAAACUGGAACAAACGUUUGGUAAGUUCUCAUUGAUUUUUUUUGUUGUGCAUGAUGGGAGUUGUAGCUCCUAUUGCACCUGAAAUGCUGUUUAAUGCAUUCUCAUCACCCUUACAUUACUUGUGUUAUAGUAAAUAAUAUAUCAUUCGUCAAACAGAGAGAAUGAAUGUAAAUGUAGAGUCCAAUAUCAUCAAAUAUCUUGAAAUACAAAAUAUAAAGGACUUACAGGAAAAAAAAAAAAAAAAAAAAAAAUUACAUGUUUGGUAUAAAAAUGUGACAUGCUUAUGACUUUAAUAACUGAUGUACAAGUAAUGUUCUAAUAAUACUGGGCCGCUAUACAUGUAAAGAUACACAACAUGACCCUGGAAGUUACAAAUCUAGUGGAUUUUAAUAUAAAGAAUUCACAAUGUGUAUUAAAAGGUGCUUAAUUUCGAACAACUAAUUGUGAAAUAUAUUUUUGUUGUUGAUAAUCCAUGUAUAGACAUAUAAUAAGCUGCCAUGUCUUUUCCAGGCAAGGAGUACACUCAGUAUAACCUGCACAACAUCCACAUGGAGCAUGAGUGGGUGAUGAAUUUGGCUUCCCAUCCCAACCUGCUGCAAGCGAUCACUGCUGUCCUGGGUCCUAAUGUCAUUCUGCUGGACUCCAGGUUUAUCUGUAAAUAUCCUUCCUCUGACGUUCCCCAUAAAGAAAACAUAGCGCCCUACGUGGCCUGGCACCAGGACAUCAAGUAAGUAAAAGACAGAUAAUAUUCAUAUGAAUUUACUAAAAUUAGGAAGCCAUUUAUAGCAUGGUUUACAGCAUGGCACACCUUGAUUUGUGAUCUGUCUACAGAUACUGGGGGUUUGAAGGAGGUCCAGUGGCUUCAGUGUGGCUGGCAUUUGAUGACGUGGAUGCAGAAAAUGGAGUCCUUCAAAUUAUCCCAGGUACAGUGUUUACUUAUUCUAUCAAACAUGAUACAUGUAUUAUUCUGUAUUUCUAUAUUUCUGUAUUCUGUCUGUCUAUAUAUCCAUCUAUUUAAUAGUUGUAUUAGACAAUACAGUAAAAAUAAAAAAAACAAAAGCAGAUUUUGAAAGUCAUGGUAUUAAAUAAAAUUAGAAUACACAAUAAAAUGCCUUAACAGAGUUAUGGAUAAGGAAUAAAAUAUUUGAAUAGUAUGCAAGCAUUUAAAGAAAAGAACUCAAAAUUGCUAUUAUUUUGUAUUUGAUGAUACAUUGUAUCUUUCCAUAGGGAGCCAUAAACAAGGUGUUCUAGAGCACAGAAUUGCGG